UUUGGCUCACGUCGAAGGAGUUGGCACAUAUUUAUCUAAAAUCUUAAGAAAAUCCUAUAUAAGUAUGAACAGCAUGAGAAAUCUCCACCAAACCAAGAAGCAAAUUGAGCAUCAAAGUUAGUAGACAGACCAAUUCAAGCCCGAAGCUUCCUUCGUAACUUCCUUAGCUUCUUUGUAACUAAAACAAUGAAGUUGGGAGUGGCUCGUUUGGUAAUAUUCAUGGUCUUUAUUCAUCUCACAUGCAACGGUAUUCAAGCCAGUACUCGUCACCCAUUUCUGAUAAAUCCUCAAACUCUGGAAUCAUAUCAAUAUGUCACCGUAACAGGUUAAGAUGCUCCACCUUUCCCUUUUAGACUAGAUUUCAGUUUUCUAUCUUGAAAUCUUUAUAUCAAAUGACUAGCAAGAAUAAGUAGGAUGACGAAGGGAACUUACUAUGUUGUCUAUCUCAUCCAUAGGUUGUAAUAAUAAUUGCGAUAUAGCUUGUUGUUACUGUGAUAUAAGAAAACAGCCACCACUCUGUGUCCAGUGCUGCAGAGAAGGCCUUUGAUUCCUAGGUAUGUGUCAUCUCUCCAUGCAUUUUCUUCUUGGAAACGAGAAAACGAAACACGACAUGACACGGCAUAGCAAUUAGAGAUGCUAUUUUUGGAAAAAGUUACAGAGAAAGCCGCAUAUUAUGUAAUUUAUUUGUUGUAACAGAGAAUUUAGUUCUUAGUUGAAGCCUAUGAAAAGUCCAUAAUAAUGUGCAAUUCAUAAUCCAACUCAAAUAUUUUGAUCAAAAGUUUCCUCAAGGUUUCUGAAUUAUAUUAAAAAAUUCAAAAGUAUUAGGCAACUUUUAAUGGUCGUCACAGUGUUUGCAGGACAAAGAAGAAAUUAAGACAUGGAGCGCAAGAAGAAAGCAAUCACGGAUCAAGCAUGGGAAACAUAUUCUUGAUUUUUAGUUGCUUGCUUAGCACGUAAUUUCACAGUUUACUCGUGAGUGAGGUGUAAGAAAAAAUUAAUUUAGACCAAUAGAUAUCAAGUUUGCAAUUUAUUAUUUUUAUUUUUUAAA
rnacentral:lncRNA from 1 species